UGGGGGAUAUUGCACAAUGGGCGAAAGCCUGAUGCAGCGACGCCGCGUGGGGGAUGAAGGCUUUCGGGUUGUAAACCUCUUUCGCUAUCGAACAAGGCCCGCUUAGGGUGGGUUGAGGGUAGGUGGAGAAGAAGCGCCGGCUAACUACGUGCCAGCAGCCGCGGUAAUACGUAGGGCGCGAGCGCUGUCCGGAAUUAUUGGGCGUAAAGGGCUUGUAGGCGGCUUGUUGCGCCUGCUGUGAAAACGCGGGGCUUAACUUCGCGCGUGCAGUGGGUACGGGCAGGCUUGAGUGUGGUAGGGGUGACUGGAAUUCCAGGUGUAGCGGUGGAAUGCGCAGAUAUCUGGAGGAACACCGAUGGCGAAGGCAGGUCACUGGGCCAUUACUGACGCUGAGGAGCGAAAGCAUGGGUAGCGAACAGG
rnacentral:rRNA from 1 species